rnacentral:rRNA from 1 species
GACGAACGCUGGCGGCGUGCUUAACACAUGCAAGUCGAGCGGUAAGGCCCUUUCGGGGGUACACGAGCGGCGAACGGGUGAGUAACACGUGGGUGACCUGCCCUCAGCUCUGGGAUAAGCCUGGGAAACCGGGUCUAAUACUGGAUAUGACUCCAUGACGCAUGUUGUGGGGUGGAAAGCCUUGUGCGGCUGAGGAUGGGCCCGCGGCCUAUCAGCUUGUUGGUGGGGUGANGGCCUACCAAGGCGACGACGGGUAGCCGGCCUGAGAGGGCGACCGGCCGCACUGGGACUGAGACACGGCCCAGACUCGUACGGGAGGCAGCAGUGGGGAAUCUUGCGCAAGUGGGCGAAAGCCUGACGCAGCGACGCCGCGUGAGGG